rnacentral:rRNA from 1 species
UAAUACGGAGGGCGCAAGCGUUGUUCGGAAUCACUGGGCAUAAAGAGCACGUAGGCUGUUCAAUCAGUCGGAUGUGAAAGCCCCCGGCUCAACCGGGGAACUGCAUUCGAUACUAUUGAGCUAGAGGACAGGAGGGGUGAGUGGAACUCCAGGUGGAACGGUGAAAUGUGUAGAUAUCUGGAGGAACACCGGUGGCGAAAGCGGCUCACUGGCCUGUCUCUGACGCUGAGGUGCGAAAGCUAGGGUAGCGAACGGGAUUAGAUACCCCGGUAGUCCUAGCCGUAAACGAUGGGCACUAGGCAAUGGGUUUUCCCUAUGGGACUCAUUGCCGUAGCAAAUGUGUUAAGUGCCCCGCCUGGGGAGUACGCUCGCAAGGGUA